GUGAACCCAAUUGGUUUUGUUUCUUGAUUGUUUGAACAUGAUUUUGGAUACUUUCCCUUGGCUGUUUUAACUUUUUCAUUCUCUUUUGACCCUAGGCUUGCCCUAGUGGUCCUGUUACUCACCUUUGAGCUCAUGUUUUCAGGUUGACCAACAAAUGACCAAUGAGACCAAUUCUUUUUGAUUGAGCUUGCUUGAAUAUCAUUGAUUAACUUGUUUGUUUUGUAGGUUGCUUGGCUCACAUGCCUUGAGCCUUGUGCCUUGCACAUUCACUUGCUUAUGAUUAAC
rnacentral:lncRNA from 1 species